UACAGAGACCCCAAGCGUUAUCCGGUUUCAUUGGGCGUAAAGCGUUCCGAUCGGUGGUUUCGUGUGUCUAGGGUGAAAGACCGCAGCUUAACUGCGUGUUUGCUCUGGAAACUGCGUUACUAGAGGUAUCAAGAGGUAACUGGAACUCUACAAGUAGGGGUGAAAUCCGUUGAUAUGUAGGGGAACACCAAAAGCGAAGGCAAGUUACUUGGGAUAUCCUGACACUGCUAGGACGAAAGCGUGGGGAGCGAUACGG
rnacentral:rRNA from 1 species